ACGUAGGAUGCAAGCGUUAUCCGGAUUUACUGGGCGUAAAGCGCGUGUAGGCGGUUUGGUAAGUUGGAUGUGAAAGCUCCUGGCUUAACUGGGAGAGGUCGUUCAAUACUGCUAAGCUUGAGGAUGGUAGAGGGAGGUGGAAUUCCGAGUGUAGUGGUGAAAUGCGUAGAUAUUCGGAGGAACACCAGUGGCGAAAGCGGCCUCCUGGACCAUUUCUGACGCUCAGACGCGAAAGCUAGGGUAGCAAACGGGAUUAGAGACCCCGGUAGUCCUAGCCGUAAACGAUGUAGACUUGGCGUCGGCGGGUUUAAAUCCGUCGGUGUCGAAGCUAACGCGAUAAGUCUACCGCCUGGGGACUACGGCCGCAAGGUUA
rnacentral:rRNA from 1 species